rnacentral:pre_miRNA from 1 species
AGCUUUGGAGUUGAUUGAAGGAGAAGAAUGGAGAGUUGCAGGAGCUGAGUACCUUCUGCAACUCUUCAUUCUUGUCCGUCAGCUCUCCUUUGGUUUUAU